AAAAUCCCUAAAGACGGUUAAAAAUAGGGUUGGUCAAAGACUAAUGUAUAUUCCUACAUAUAAGGAAUACACUGUGUUACAUGAUUUCUUUACACAGUUUGAGGAUAUAAAAAUAUUUGUAAAGAAAAUUCAUGAAGGAUAAUGAGCUUGUUUGUCAUCAUGCGAUAAAAGCAUGUUGCGAGAUAAUUGGCAUAAAGGAUAUGUAUGCCAAAGUACAAGGAGGAAUGUAAAAGCAUUCUUUAUUGGUUUAUUGCAACAGAUAACAUCUGUAUAAUAAAAA
rnacentral:lncRNA from 1 species